CUCUCCGCACUCAAAUAACAGAGCCCUAAGAGGAACCCAAUCCCCCACUCACUCUCCCUUCCCACGCCGCCGCCGCGGCACCCAGCGGCGCAUCCUCCCUAUCCGUGCCGGCGCUGCUCCAUCCCCAUGCGCUUCCUGCUCUGCGCCUCACCUAGUCCUCCCCACGCAUCAUCUCCUCCGUCAUAGCCUCACUCACUCAUCACCGCCGCCGCCUUCCUGUUCACCUCCUCCGUUCGUGUCUGUGCCGCCAAACCUUGUCGCGUCCACUGCCGGCGGCGCCCCCCCGCAUCCCAACCUGCUCGCGCCCUAGGCUAGGAUGGUUGGAUCCGCGACCCCGCCGCCGUAUUCUCCACAGGGUGAACCUAGAGGCGGAUCCAGGCGAGCGCCGUCCCCAUCUUUGGGGGACUGGGGAUUUUCUGAUUUGAGGCGACGCAACAGCGACCUGGAGGCAAGACAAGAUAUGGUUUUGGCAGGGUUGGGCCUCUUGCACAUCCGGCAUCUCAGCGUACUGGGUCAUCCCAUGCUGGAAAUGCUGCUUCUGGUUCUCCUGAGCAAUGACUUCAAAGAGACUUGUUGCUGUUGAAGGAAAUUAACCUCUUUUGUGUAAUUAGAAACCGUGUGUGUGUGUGUGUGUGUGUGUGUGUGUGUGUGUGUGUGUGUGUGUGUGUGUGUGUAUAUAUAUAUAUAUAUAUAUAUAUAUGUUAGAGUGAAAAGGCCUCUGUUAUGUAGUUGUGAUGCAGCUUUGAACCUGUGUAGGAGCUAGAAUUGCUAUGUAAACUCCUGAACUAGCAUGGACUUUUAUAUGUUGUGCAGUUUGCACUUGUGAACCAUUCUGAAAUCUAGUGUGAGUAAUCAUGCUCCAAUAAUGUAUAAUUUAUUAAUGUA